AGUAAUAUAAGCUAAAUAAGCUUUUGGGCCCAUACCCCAAAAAUGUUGGUUUAAACCCCCCUAUUACUA
rnacentral:tRNA from 1 species